GUUUAAUGCAGAUUCUGCAGAACAUAUACAGGCUAAAUAAAAAACAAUCACUGUAUAAUAUGUCCCCUGCUGUAUAGUCCAAAACCACCGCACGAUGUCUCUGUGCAACAAAUAUUGGCGAGAUGGCACCGUGUUGAAAAGUCCACACAGUGUCUGUGAGUUAAAAUGGCCGCCAUCUAUUGUUCUCACCAUGUGCUUCUGAUACAGGAAAUGGUGGCCACCCAGUAACUCCACAGUAUGUCCCCAGAUGGUUCUUAAAAGGGCUAGCAGCAGCACAACACAAAUCCAUUAUGCCCAAAUCAUGUCUUUAAAGGGCAAUACAUCCCAGGGGC